ACUUGAAUACUAAUUUGUUACUUAAUCCCAGUCACUUCCACUUUGUUCAUGAAGCUGUAACAAUUCUGAUGGAGACUACAAUUUUGUUUUUUGGCAUAUUACCUUGGUUCUGGAAGAAAUCUGGAGAGUUGGCAGUGUACAUUGGCUUGAAUGCAGACAAUGAAAUAAUUCACACCCUUUCGUUCUUAGCAAGAGUCGUGAUUUGGUCGCAGGUAUGGAUGUUAAUCAUUCUAAGAGU